rnacentral:rRNA from 1 species
UGGAUUAGCGGCGAACGGGUGAGGAACACGUGAAGAAUCUGCCCUCCACUUCGGGAUAACACCGGGAAACCGGUGCUAAUACCGAAUAUUGAAACAUAAGUGGCAUCACUGAGUUUUGAAAGAAUUUCGGUGGAGGAUGACUUCGCGGCCUAUCAGCUAGUUGGUGAGGUAAUGGCUCACCAAGGCAACGACGGGUAGCCGGCCUGUGAGGGCGACCGGCCACACUGGGACUGAGACACGGCCCAGACUCCUACGGGAGGCAGCAGUGGGGAAUAUUGGGCAAUGGAGAAAACUCUGACCCAGCGACGCCGCGUGCGGGAUGAAGGCCUUCGGGUUGUAAACCGCUUUCAGUAGGGAAGAAGCGAAAGUGACGGUACCUACAAAAGAAGCACCGGCUAACUAUGUGCCAGCAGCCGCGGUAAUACAUAGGGUGCAAGCGUUGUCCGGAAUUAUUGGGCGUAAAGAGCUCGUAGGUCGUUUGUUACGUCGGAUGUGAAAACCUGAGGCUCAACCU